GGCCAGCAUAGAGCAGUGGUUUGAGUGCUGAACUAUAACUCUGGAGACCAGGGUUCAAUUUCCAGCUUGGCCA